rnacentral:rRNA from 1 species
GACGAACGCUGGCGGCGUGCUUAACACAUGCAAGUCGAACGGAAAGGCCCUGCUUUUGUGGGGUGCUCGAGUGGCGAACGGGUGAGUAACACGUGAGUAACCUGCCCUUGACUGUGGGAUAACUUCAGGAAACUGGGGCGAAUACAGCAGAGGAGCUCCUGCUGCACGGGGGGGGUUGGAAAGUGUCGGCGGUUGGGGCUGGACUCGCGGCUUAUCAGCUUGUUGGUGGGGUAGUGGCUUACCAAGGCUUUGACGGGUAGCCGGCCUGGGAGGGUGGCCGGCCACAUUGGGACUGGGGUACGGCCCAGACUCCUACGGGAGGCAGCAGUGGGGAAUAUUGCACAAUGGGCGGAAGCCUGAUGCAGCAACGCCGCGUGCGGGAUGACGGCCUUCGGGUUGUAAACCGCUUUCGCCUGUGACGAAGCGUGAGUGACGGUAAUGGGUAAAGAAGCACCGGCUAACUACGUG